rnacentral:rRNA from 1 species
AGAGUUUGAUCAUGGCUCAGGAUGAACGCUAGCGGCAGGCCUAAUACAUGCAAGUCGAACGGCUCGCAAGAGCAGUGGCGCACGGGUGCGUAACGCGUAUGCAACUUACCCAUGAAUGGGGCAUAGCCCGGGGAAACCCGGAUUAAUACCGCAUAAGCUAAGUGAAUGGCAUCAUUUACUUAGGAAACAUUUAUGGUUCAUGGAUGGGCAUGCGUUAGAUUAGCUAGUUGGUAGUGUAACGGACUACCAAGGCGAUGAUCUAUAGGGGUUCUGAGAGGAAGAUCCCCCACACUGGUACUGAGAUACGGACCAGACUCCUACGGGAGGCAGCAGUAGGGAAUAUUGGGCAAUGGAGGCAACUCUGACCCAGCCAUGCCGCGUGCAGGAAGAAGGCCUUCUGGGUUGUAAACUGCUUUUGGAAGGGAACAAAACGGGCGUGCGCGCCAACUUGAGGGUACCUUCAGAAUAAGCACCGGCUAACUCCGUGCCAGCAGCCGCGGUAAUACGGAGGGUGCAAGCGUUGUCCGGAUUUAUUGGGUUUAAAGGGUGCGUAGGCGGCCAUGUAAGUCAGGGGUGAAAGACUGCAGCUUAACUGUAGCAGUGCCUUUGAUACUGUGUGGCUUGAGUGUAGCUGAGGCAGAUGGAAUGGGUGGUGUAGCGGUGAAAUGCAUAGAUACCAUCCAGAACACCGAUUGCGAAGGCAGUCUGCUAAACUACAACUGACGCUGAGGCACGAAAGCGUGGGGAUCGAACAGGAUUAGAUACCCUAGUAGUCC